rnacentral:sRNA from 12 species
AUAAAUCUUGCAGUCAUAAGAAUAAAAUGCCUGGAUUAGUUUUUUUCUUUUCUGGGGCUGCUAUGCGUUAAGCAGUGAAUGGGUUUUUUAAUCGAUUCUAGGAAUGUAUGCAAAAGUGAGAGCGACUUUAUGAAAUGGCUUGGUGGUUUGUCUGAUUCGGCGAAUUAUCACAAUACAACAAAGCUUUAAAAUGCAAGUUAAAGCGAGUAUAUUACUUGGGGCAGAUGACAAGUAACCGAAAGGGGUGGUAAUCAAA